rnacentral:lncRNA from 1 species
GAUGGCUCCACGCAUUUGUUUUUAUUCACGCAGCAACGUGAUCGGCGUGUUUUCGAUGAUCUCGACGCUCAGCAUGAUCCAAUGUGCAGUGUUAAGUUCAGAUAUGUUUUCCUCAUCGUCUACAGCAGUGAAUUCUCUUGUGCGCUUCGUCGUUUCCGCCCGCUGGAUAUCGACGAUUUUGACAAAGAACUCUACGAAGUCUUCCCGGCUUGCGAGGAACACCGCAGCACCCACUUACUCCAGAUGAACCAAACUGAGGAAGGAAUGGAGGAGGCGCGAGUCGAACAACAACCGACGUGUUCCGCGGGAACUCGGCGAUGCUCAACUGGUACCGGGAUCACGAAAAACUACUACUAGAGUUUGAUCUCCUAUUCAAAGGGAACCUGAUUACAAGCCGUGGAGAGAGGCUGCAAGCAGCUUGGAUACACUACUUCAUACUUUGGAGAGGAAGAGGAGGCAGCGUUUACAGAAGUGGGAUCUGGAACAAGCCCUGCUUACCCCAUCCCUGGUGCGGAAGGACAUAUUGGCACUCCACCUUGCAGACAGCUUGUUUUUCAAGGUUCAUCACUGCUUGUGGGAAUAGUGCACCUUCUUGCACCAUUUUAUGAAGUAUGAAAUCACAUAGUUCAUAGUUCAAGAUGCCUGCUACUGUACAAUUUAAUGAAAUAAAAUUUUUCGGUGCUUAUGAC